UUAAAAAAAAACUAAAUGAAAGAUCUCUGUGAGUGAGAUCCCAGUGGAAAGAACAGGUCUUCAAAGAAGGAGGUACCUUUCUCUGAAGGGAGGAGAGAGCCUCCACUUUGAAUAUGACCUUGUCUAAACAAGAUAAGAGUCAGAGAACUCAAGGGGCUUCCAUAGCCAUGGAAACUCAUGACUGGUGCAUAGGGAGAUUACUGAUGCCAUAAACAGGAGUGUCAAUUUCUAAAGUCAACAACAGGAAUCACUGUGCACUUACUCCUCAUGUAGGAUCUCUGUCCUUAAUGUGCUGUACAUUGAGAUUUAAUGCUCUAACGAGUACUCAAACAGUAUAUUUCCCUUUGUGUUUCUAUGGGGGUGCAAACUGUUGAAAUCUUUACCUAAUGUAUACUAAAUAAAAAUUAUUGAUCCUGAUCCCUGUUCUCUGGAAGCCCAGUCAUGAUUCUUAAUUGACUUAUUGAUUCGUGUCUCACAUUAACCACUCAUGAAGUGGUGAAACCCAGGUAAUGUGCCAGGUGGGCUAGUAAGAUGGGUAAGUCAGGGCUCUUCAGAGAAGUGAUUUUCAUUAUUAACUAAUAGUUUCAUGCUUACCCCACUGCUUUGUAAUACAUACAGUGACAUACCUAUAGAACAGGUAGACAAAUCAGCAGCCAUUCUUCUACAGGAAAAUUAAAUUAGGUCAUUUAUCAACUGCUGGGUGAUUUCAGAUAGUUACUUAUCUCAAAAUGAAGCCUCCACUGCGUGUGUCAAAUCUGUAGCUCAGCCCCUAAAGUUCCCUCAAGUUUGGGAGCAUAAUUAGUCAGUUUUGUUUCUCCUGUCUUCCUGAUAUGCUAUUUUAAUUUUCAGAAAUUUCCAACAAACCGAGAAAAUGGCCUUUAGUCAGGACUCAUAGCUGCCCAUUAUUUACUAUAUAUUAAGUGCUCCAGGAAGGACCUCUCAAAAAGGAAUCACUGACUACCACCACCCCAGUCCUCAUCAAAGAUCAAGAGAUAAUAUGUUCAUUAAAGGCAUCACUGCAACCCAGGUAUAGUAGCUGAGUUGCAAGAAUUGAUCUAAAUGUUUUGUCAGACUAAGUGGGUUUUUUGAAAUUGGCUUCAUUUCUUUCUUGAAGUUUCUGACUUCAAUACUUAUAAAGGAAGCUUACUAAGACAACAUCUCCCUGAAACAUUGGGACUUCCUGAGGUAGAUGCAUAAUAUAUGUCAUCUGUUUAAGCAGAAUAAGAACGUUUUCUACAUUAUUUUUUUUACAUUUUUGCUUUUUUCAAUUUUGUUCAUAAAUCAGGAUGUGCGGUACGUUCAGCCUUUCCAUAUUUUUAAACCCCUCUUUCCUUGUCUCCUCUCCCCAUGAUGCUCAUUCUGGGCCCCAUUUUAAGCUGUGUAAGGAGACAGAUAUGAUAACGGAUCCCAGAAUUUAGCCCCAGAACCUUUUCCCUCUUCUAUUAGAGGAAAUAUGGGAGUAGGAAUUAAAACAACAGGACUUAGAGUUUUCAUUACAGCAAAGAGUAUAAUCUCUCUCCUGGGGAGACAAAGCUUUAUCAUGUACAGACAAAAUGAGACCCUGACAUAUCUAGACUUCAUGUGAACCAAGUUUAGGACAGAAA